rnacentral:rRNA from 1 species
GAUGAACGCUGGCGGCGUGCUUAACACAUGCAAGUCGAACGAUGAAGCCCAGCUUGCUGGGUGGAUUAGUGGCGAACGGGUGAGUAACACGUGAGUAACCUGCCCUUAACUCUGGGAUAAGCCUGGGAAACUGGGUCUAAUACCGGAUAGGAGCGUCCACCGCAUGGUGGGUGUUGGAAAGAUUUAUCGGUUUUGGAUGGACUCGCGGCCUAUCAGCUUGUUGGUGAGGUAAUGGCUCACCAAGGCGACGACGGGUAGCCGGCCUGAGAGGGUGACCGGCCACACGGGGACUGAGACACGGCCCAGACUCCUACGGGAGGCAGCAGUGGGGAAUAUUGCACAAUGGGCGAAAGCCUGAUGCAGCGACGCCGCGUGAGGGAUGACGGCCUUCGGGUUGUAAACCUCUUUCAGUAGGGAAGAAGCGAAAGUGACGGUACCUGCAGAAGAAGCACCGGCUAACUACGUG